rnacentral:rRNA from 1 species
AGCGAACGCUGGCAGCAGGCCUAACACAUGCAAGUCGAACGAACUCUUCGGAGUUAGUGGCGGACGGGUGAGUAACACGUGGGAACGUGCCUUUAGGUUCGGAAUAACUCAGGGAAACUUGUGCUAAUACCGAAUGUGCCCCCCGAUUCAUUUUGGGGUGGGAAAGAUUUAUCGCCUUUAGAGCGGCCCGCGUCUGAUUAGCUAGUUGGUGAGGUAAAGGCUCACCAAGGCGACGAUCAGUAGCUGGUCUGAGAGGAUGAUCAGCCACAUUGGGACUGAGACACGGCCCAAACUCCUACGGGAGGCAGCAGUGGGGAAUCUUGCGCAAUGGGCGAAAGCCUGACGCAGCCAUGCCGCGUGAAUGAUGAAGGUCUUAGGAUUGUAAAAUUCUUUCACCGGGGACGAUAAUGACGGUACCCGGAGAAGAAGCCCCGGCUAACUUCGUGCCAGCAGCCGCGGUAAUACGAAGGGGGCUAGCGUUGCUCGGAAUUACUGGGCGUAAAGGGAGCGUAGGCGGACAUUUAAGUCAGGGGUGAAAUCCCGGGGCUCAACCUCGGAAUUGCCUUUGAUACUGGGUGUCUUGAGUAUGAGAGAGGUGUGUGGAACUCCGAGUGUAGAGGUGAAAUUCGUAGAUAUUCGGAAGAACACCAGUGGCGAAGGCGACACACUGGCUCAUUACUGACGCUGAGGCUCGAAAGCGUGGGGAGCAAACAGG